rnacentral:rRNA from 1 species
AGCUAAUGCCUUUACUGGUGUUGGUUUCAAGAACUUGUCUAAACCUUAUCAUUUAGAGGAAGGUGAAGUCGUAACAAGGUUUCCGUAGGUGAACCUGCGGAAGGAUCAUUACCACACAAUAAUCCAAACCGCGCUUACAUUAAACCCAUAGGCUCUGGCCCUGCUAACUAGUGGUAAACCCCUCUGUAACCCAUCGAGUCUCUCUGGUGUUUACGACCUUAUAAGAUCUCAUUAUGUGCCACUGCCGUGAUGAUGCAACCUGGAGGCCAACGAGUACGAUCCACCAAUUUAAAUUCAAUCGACAGCUUGACGAGAGUCAAGUUUAAAAGUAUAACAUUCCAAUACAACUUUCAGCAAUGGAUGUCUUGGUUCCCAACACAAUGAAGAACACAGCGAAAUGUGAUACGUAAUACGAAUUGCAAGACUUUGUGAAUCAUUGAAUUUUUGAACGCAUAUUGCGCUGCCAGAUUCUUUCUGGGAGCAUACACGACAGAGUAUCAUCAAACCCCAAUCUAUAACAUUAUUUGUUAUGGGCAAGUGAAGUUGGCUUUAAACAAAGCACUCCUUCUAAGUUAUUUAGUGCAGAGGCAUUUUCACAUUGUAGGAAACUCAGUGUAUUNGUUUCAACGUGCUAUUGGUCAAAAUUCACUUUUUGACUGUCUUCUUAACUGAUCUCUGGCUGUGUAGGACUACCCGCUGAAUUU